GGCUUUUUAGCAGGGCCGGCCCGGGGCUGCCGCUGCCCCGCCUGAGACGGGGCACGGCCCGGGGGCGGCCUCAGCCCCCGAGAAGGGUUUGGCGGGAGCUUCAGCCCCGCCCGGUUCCAGCAGCGGGAGCGAGCAGGAUGGGCCCUUGUCUUUUUCCUUUCUCUCUCUGUGUUCUUUCUUAGGAAAGGCAGCGUGGCAAGGCGGUGGAGUUUCUCUUCCAGUGAGAGAACUGGAAGGCAUUGAGCUGUGCCUAGGGACGGAUGAAGACCUAGCAGAGCGCUUGCACGCUUUGUUCUUUCCAGUGCCCCGAGGAGCGGCGCAUCCCUCAGAGUUAGAAAUGGAAGGUGGCCAUGGAGCGGAGGAUAGCCCGUGCGCUGCGGCGGCCUUGAAGAAGGGCGAGAAGCGUGGCCUGCAUGACUAGGGGCCGGCGGGCCUGUUUCAGGUGGAGAAGUUAAGAUGGAGGGGGACAUGGUGAAGGUCGCAGCGGAGCCCGGGCAUGACUAGGCGCGUGAGUUCAUCGGGGCGGGAGCCCUGCGACGCAAGGGCCUCCCUCCCCAGCAGCACUCAGAGCUUUUUUGAGCAGGUUCAGGUGUGGCGUGCGGAUCCCGGCAGCGUGUCUGUGGAGCCUUGUGAGGUGUGUCCUUGAGCGUCUGAGAGGUGCGUGACGGGUGGUCUCCCGGAGGCAUGGACCUGACGGAGCGAGAAGCGCUGCCUGGGUCGUGGCCGCAGCAGCAGUACAGCGCAGGAGUUUUGGGUGGCCAUCCUGGGCCGGGAGCCGCGCCGCCUGCGCGGUGGCAACUGAAGAGGUAGGUGCUGGGCGUUGGGGUGUGGCGGGCUUGGAGUGUUGUGGAGGUUGGUGUGCGUGGGGCGUUGCGGUUAGUUUUGUUGAGUGUGUUGGCUGGGCCCCUCGCGGUGUGGCAGGUUGUUGAGUUAGCGUUAGAGGUGGGGGUGCAGAAGGAGCACUAAGAUGUAGGGUUGAAGGCAGUGUUUGAGCGUGAGGUAUUGGGGAUGGCUGUUAGUUGCUUU